AGUAAUGCAUCGGAAUGUACCGUGUAAUGGGGGAUAGCUCGGCGAAAGCCGGAUUAAUACCGCAUACGCCCUGAGGGGGAAAGCGGGGGACCGAAAGGCCUCGCGUUAUACGAGCAGCCGAUGUCUGAUUAGCUAGUUGGUGAGGUAAGAGCUCACCAAGGCGACGAUCAGUAACGGGUUUUGAAAGGAUGAUCCGCCACACUGGGACUGAGACACGGCCCAGACUCCUACGGGAGGCAGCAGUGGGGAAUUUUGGACAAUGGGCGCAAGCCUGAUCCAGCCAUGCCGCGUGUCUGAAGAAGGCCUUCGGGUUGUAAAGGACUUUUGUUCGGGAGGAAAUCCCGCUGGUUAAUACCUGGCGGGGAUGACAGUAC
rnacentral:rRNA from 1 species